GGUUGACCUCGGAUCAGGUAGGGAUACCCGCUGAACUUAAGCAUAUCAAUAAGCGGAGGAAAAGAACCAACAGGGAUUCCCCAGUAACGGCGAGUGAAGCGGCAAGAGCUCAAA
rnacentral:rRNA from 1 species